CAGGAGCAGAAAGCAGGCUGUUUUCUCAAACAGUGAUGUAUUUUGCAGCAGACCUGAAGAAAGUGUGCAUAAUGGGGACCAUUGGAGGACAAUUUUGUUCUGACAGCCAAUCAAGCAAAUUAGUGUGAAUUACUUGGCAAUUCAUCAAACAGACCAAAGAGGGCUCUUAAAUAAAUAAAUAAAUAAAAACCCUGAAGGCGG